UGGGGAAUCUUGCGCAAUGGGCGAAAGCCUGACGCAGCGACGCCGCGUGGGGGAUGAAGGCCCUCGGGUUGUAAACCCCUUUCGGCAGGGACGAAGCGAACGUGACGGUACCUGCAGAAGAAGCUCCGGCUAACUACGUGCCAGCAGCCGCGGUAAGACGUAGGGAGCGAGCGUUGUCCGGAAUCAUUGGGCGUAAAGAGCGCGUAGGCGGCUACGCAAGUCGGAUGUGAAAACUCGGGGCUCAACCCCGAGCGUGCAUCCGAUACUGCGUGGCUAGAGGUAGGUAGGGGAGAUCGGAAUUCCUGGUGUAGCGGUGAAAUGCGCAGAUAUCAGGAGGAACACCGGUGGCGAAGGCGGAUCUCUGGGCCUUACCUGACGCUCAGGCGCGAAAGCUAGGGGAGCGAACAG
rnacentral:rRNA from 1 species